GCUUUUAUUUUCUUGCUGCAAUUAAGAAGCGAGGAAUCGAAUGGCGAGGGUUUUGGCCCUUUCUUCCUCCGCGUCGUCGCUCCUAUCUCGACCGGAACCCGCCAAAACCCACCACCACCAACUCCUCCUCCACGGCGAUUUCGGCGGCCGCCGCCGUCACCACCGCCGCCCUAAUUCGCCGCCGUCUCCGCCCGUCAAGAAGACGAAACCCUUCGGAUUGACCCAGAUACCUCUCCUCUCCGCACCCAGAUUCGGGGUUCGUGCCCAAACGCAAGGGGACUACGCCCCAGCUCCUUCCGGCGAUGCAGCGGAUUCGGAUGGCGCCGAGGAGGCCUUCACCUGGACUUCCGUCAUUCUCCCGUUUUUGUUUCCGGCAUUGGGGGGCCUCCUGUUUGGUUACGACAUUGGAGCUACCUCUGGAGCUUCCAUCUCUCUGCAAUCUGCAGAGCUUAGUGGGACUACCUGGUUCAAUCUCUCAGCUGUACAGCUCGGGCUUGUGGUCAGCGGCUCCCUCUAUGGGGCUCUUGCUGGCUCCAUUAUCGCAUACCCGAUUGCAGAUAUUCUUGGAAGAAGAAGAGAACUGAUCACAGCAGCUGCGCUGUAUGUGGUUGGUGGCUUGAUCACUGGAUAUGCACCUGACCUUCUUGUUCUUAUUAUAGGUCGACUUCUUUAUGGCAUUGGUAUAGGUCUGGCUAUGCACGGUGGCCCUCUCUAUAUUGCUGAAACCUGUCCUUCACAGAUACGUGGAACAUUGAUCUCUCUAAAGGAGCUCUUCAUUGUUCUUGGGAUAUUGUUGGGUUACCUUGUGGGGAGUGUUGAGAUUAGUGCUGUUGGAGGAUGGCGUUACAUGUAUGGUUUUAGUGCCCCAAUUGCAGUUUUAAUGGGGAUAGGCAUGUGGUCUUUGCCACCAUCUCCAAGGUGGCUACUUCUCAGGGCAGUUCAAGGUAAAGGAUCCUUGGAGGAAUAUAGAGAGAAGGCUAUCCAUGCCUUAGGAAAACUAAGGGGUCGUCCAGCUGGUGAUGAGGUAUCUGAGGGACAAAUAGAUGACACUCUGAUCUCCCUGAAGGCUGCUAUUGCUGAACAAGAACAAGAAGCCAGUUUCUGGGAGAUGUUCGAAGGAGCAAGUUUGAAGGCCUUCAUAAUUGGGGGAGGAUUGGUCCUUUUUCAACAGAUUACAGGGCAACCAAGUGUUUUAUACUAUGCGGCUUCCAUUCUUCAGAGUGCUGGAUUUUCAGCUGCUUCUGAUGCUGCUAGGGUUUCAGUUGUGAUUGGGAUCUUUAAGCUGCUGAUGACUGGGAUAGCUGUUUUAAAAGUUGAUAACCUUGGGAGGCGUCCUUUAUUGAUAGGAGGUGUUAGCGGAAUCGUGCUUUCGUUGUUCCUCCUUGCUGCUUACUACAAAUUUCUUGGAGGCUUCCCUCUGGUUGCUGUAGGUGCUUUACUUCUCUAUGUUGGUUCUUACCAGGUAUCUUUUGGUCCAAUUAGUUGGCUGGUGGUCUCAGAGAUCUUCCCUCUUCGUACAAGAGGACGUGGAAUCAGUCUUGCAGUUCUUACCAACUUUGGCUCUAAUGCAUUUGUAACGUUUGCCUUUUCACCAUUGAAGGUAUUGAUACGAGGAAAAUUCUUUUCAUAAGGGCCAGGAUAGCCAGCUUAUAACAUAUAAACCAGUAGCCAGGAACUUCUCGGACCCGAUAAUCUUUUUCUCAUAUUUGGAGCUGUUGCAUUGCUGUCACUUUUAUUUGUACUCUUUUAUGUUCCAGAGACAAAAGGCUUGAGUUUGGAGGAAAUUGAAGCCAAAAUAUUGAAAUAAAGGCCUGCAUCUUGCCUUUUUCAUUUCACAGAUAUGGUUCCUCCCUUCUGUUAAGUGGAGAUGAAGGCUGUCAAUUGGGAACUGGUGCUGCGGGGAAAUAUGUGCAAGAUAGUAGUGGGAGUGGCUGAACAAGAUCAGAGUUGGUGGGAGAAUCGGAAGAUGAACAAAUUGACGAUACAAAUGCUUCUAUGAACUUGUAUAAUAAUUUAUCGACUUUUAAGGAGUAUAUUGAGUCAGAAAUUACACGUAUUUGCCCUCAAAUUUUUUAUAAUUAAGAAGUAUGUUUUUAUACGCC